rnacentral:rRNA from 1 species
CCCUUAGAUGUUCUGGGCCGCACGCGCGCUACACUGAUGAAUGCAACGAGCUCUACCCUUGACCGAAAGGCCCGGGUAAACUUGUGAAACUUCAUCGCGAUGGGGAUAGAUUAUUGCAAUUAUUAAUCUUCAACGAGGAAUUCCUAGUAAGCGCGAGUCAUCAGCUCGCGUUGAUUACGUCCCUGCCCUUUGUACACACCGCCCGUCGCUCCUACCGAUUGAAUGGUCCGGUGAAAUCUUCGGAUUGCUGACCAAGAUCCAGCAAUGGAGCUUGGUUGCGAGAAGUUGAUUAAACCUUAUUAUUUAGAGGAAGGAGAAGUCGUAACA